UCCAGCCUGCCCAGUGACUAAAUUAAACGGCCGCGGUACUCUAACCGUGCAAAGGUAGCACAAUCACUUGUUCUUUAAAUGAGGACUAGAAUCAACGGCACCACGAGGAUCCUACUGUCUCCCUACUCCAAUCAGUGAAACUGAUCUCUCCGUGAAGAAGCGGGGAUACAAAUAUAAGACGAGAAGACCCCAUGGAGCUUUAAACCCAACGACACCCAUUUUCUUUAUACCCUAGUAUUCAUUUGGCUAUGUUUGAUUGGUUUUAGGUUGGGGUGACCACGGAGCAUAAAAUAACCUCCACGAAGAAGAGACUAAUAAUCUUUAUCAAAGAAGUACACUUCUAAGAAUUAACAAAUUAAUUUCCAAUGAUCCGAUAUUCGAUCAACGAACCAAGUUACCCUGGGGAUAACAGCGCAAUCCACCUCAAGAGCUCCUAUCGACAGGUGGGUUUACGACCUCGAUGUUGGAUCAGGAUAUCCCAGUGGUGUAGCAGCUACUAAAGGUUCGUUUGUUCAACGAUUAAAAUCCU
rnacentral:rRNA from 1 species